rnacentral:rRNA from 1 species
AUGAACGCUGGCGGCGUGCCUAAUACAUGCAAGUCGCGCGAACAGACGAGGAGCUUGCUCCUCUGACGUUAGCGGCGGACGGGUGAGUAACACGUGGAUAACCUACCUAUAAGACUGGGAUAACUUCGGGAAACCGGAGCUAAUACCGGAUAAUAUAUUGAACCGCAUGGUUCAAUAGUGAAAGACGGUUUUGCUGUCACUUAUAGAUGGAUCCGCGCCGCAUUAGCUAGUUGGUAAGGUAACGGCUUACCAAGGCAACGAUGCGUAGCCGACCUGAGAGGGUGAUCGGCCACACUGGAACUGAGACACGGUCCAGACUCCUACGGGAGGCAGCAGUAGGGAAUCUUCCGCAAUGGGCGAAAGCCUGACGGAGCAACGCCGCGUGAGUGAUGAAGGUCUUCGGAUCGUAAAACUCUGUUAUUAGGGAAGAACAAAUGUGUAAGUAACUAUGCACGUCUUGACGGUAUCUAAUCAGAAAGCCACGGCUAACUACGUG